CCUCCUACUGCCCAACUUAAUCAACUUACUGUUGAGAUCAGUUAAAUUGGCAGUCCCCAACACUGAAGUUGACCCUAAAAUAGUCCCAGAAAUUAAUGGGAUGGGUCUGAAUGUCUUGUUCAAUGAUGAAGAUAUUCUCCCUAUUAAAAUUCCCCUGGAUUUGCCUAAAGAUUUAGUGUCUAUAGUCGGUGAUUGUGGAAUCAUUAUGGCUUAAAUUAGAUGUGCAACUGCCUUUUCCUCCUCCCAGUCAUUAUUAAGGUUGUCUCCUGGAACACUAAGGGUUUGAACGACUCCUCUAAACAUGCAGCACUUAAAAAAUUCAUCAACAAUUGUAGUCAUGAUUCAAGAAUCUAAGAAGGACACCUUGAA
rnacentral:lncRNA from 1 species